rnacentral:rRNA from 1 species
CACGUAGGGUGCAAGCGUUGUCCGGAAUUAUUGGGCGUAAAGAGCUCGUAGGCGGUCUGUCGCGUCUGGUGUGAAAACUCAAGGGCCUUAACCCUGAGCUUGCAUCGGGUACGGGCAGGACUAGAGUGUGCUAGGGGGAGACUGGAAUUCCUGGUGUAGCGGUGAAAUGCGCAGAUAUCAGGAGGAACACCGGUGGCGAAGGCGGAUCUCUGGGCCAUUACUGACGCUGAGGAGCGAAAGCGUGGGGAGCGAACAGG